rnacentral:rRNA from 1 species
UACGUAGGGCGCAAGCGUUAUCCGGAAUUAUUGGGCGUAAAGAGCUCGUAGGCGGUUUGUCGCGUCUGCCGUGAAAGUCCGGGGCUCAACUCCGGAUCUGCGGUGGGUACGGGCAGGCUAGAGUUCGGUAGGGGAGACUGGAAUUCCUGGUGUAGCGGUGAAAUACGCAGAUAUCAGGAGGAACACCGAUGGCGAAGGCAGGUCUCUGGGCCGAUACUGACGCUGAGGAGCGAAAGCGUGGGGAGCGAACAGG